rnacentral:rRNA from 1 species
CCUACGGGUGGCAGCAGUGAGGAAUAUUGGUCAAUGGACGAGAGUCUGAACCAGCCAAGUAGCGUGAAGGAUGACUGCCCUAUGGGUUGUACACUUCUUUUAUAAGGGAAUAAAACGCGGCACGUGUGCCUUUUUGCAUUUACUUUAUGAAUAAGGAUCGGCUAACUCCGUACCAGCAGCCGCGGUAAUACGGAGGAGCCGAGCGUUAUCCGGAUUUCUUGGGUUUAAAGGGAGCGUAGAUGGGUUUUUAAGUCAGUUGUGAAAGUUUGCGGCUCAACCGUAAAAUUGCAAUUGAUACUGGCAGGCUGGAGUACAGUCGAGGUAGGCGGAAUGCGUGGUGUAGCGGUGAAAUGCUUAGAUAUCACGAAGAACCCCGAUUGCGAAGGCAGCUUACUAAGCUGUGACUGACAUUGAUGCUCGAAAGUGUGGGUAUCAAACAGGAUUAGAUACCCUGGUAGUC